UUGUCUGUAAACUCUAUAUUGUAAACCACAUUCUAGGCAACUGUUGACUUUUACAUUUUGAGUAGUAUGUAUUUCUGUAUGUGAUUUCUCUCUUGAAAGUAAGAAAGCCAUAGGCAC